rnacentral:lncRNA from 1 species
CCUCCUUAUGCUCCUUGGUCUUUCUGCAAGUGCUGCUACGGCGACCAUUUUCCCGCAAUGCUCGCAAGCUCCUAUAGCUUCCCUUCUUCCCCCGUACCUCUCACCAGCGGUGUCUUCGGUAUGUGAAAACCCAAUUCUUCAACCCUACAGGAUCCAACAGGCAAUCACAGCUGGCAUCUUACCUUUAUCACCCUUGUUCCUCCAACAAUCAUCAGCCCUAUUACAUCAGUUACCUUUGGUGCAUUUAUUGGCACAAAACAUCAGGGCACAACAACUACAACAACUUGUGCUAGCAAACCUUGCUGCCUACUCUCAGCAACAGCAGUUUCUUCCAUUCAACCAACUAGCUGCAUUGAACUCUGCUUCUUAUUUGCAACAACAACAACUACCAUUCAGCCAGCUACCUGCUGCCUACCCCCAGCAAUUUCUUCCAUUCAACCAACUGGCAGCAUUGAACUCUCCUGCUUAUUUACAGCAGCAACAACUACUACCAUUCAGCCAGCUAGCUGGUGUGAGCCCUGCUACCUUCUUGAUACAACCACAGUUGUUGCCGUUCUACCAGCACGCUGCGCCUAACGCUGGCACCCUCUUACAACUGCAACAAUUGCUGCCAUUCAACCAACUUGCUUUGACAAACCCAGCAGCGUUCUACCAACAACCCAUCAUUGGUGGUGCCCUCUUUUAGAUUUCUUAUGAGUUAUAGUUCAAUAAUAAAGUUUUUUGUCUGAUGUUUGUGGCUUCCCAGAAAUAAGAAAGUACAUUUCUAGAUUCUUAUGUGCUUCUAGUCUCCAAAUGUGGUUGAUAGUUAUUUUGCUCUAAGAUCGACAGUAAUGAAGUAUAAAUCAUCGUUGUGGUGUGCUACUCGGUUAAUUGAGCAUUAACACACACAAACAUGACGAGGAUGGUAUAAUCUCCAAAAAUAUGUACUUUGUUAGGUGGGACCCUAUAGCCUUGCAUAAUGUGCUAUGUUAGGCAUGCCUGGAAACGUGUGACGCAUAUGUUUUGUGAACCUGUUGAUAUUAUAUGUGCUUUUAUAUUACCAUAUUUUAUUAAAAUACUAAUAUUUAUUACUAGUAAGAUAUAACAUUCUAUCUAGCUUAAAAACUAACCAUAAAUAUUCCAUAAUAACUAGAUUUACCAAACUAAUAUACUAAAUAUACAUAAUAAAUACAAAAUUAACAAGACAAUAAUCAAUAUUUAUGAGCUUAAUAUAUUUAGACAUUAUGGUUGGUCGACCAUAAUCAUGCUAACUUUUCGUACUUGCUUGAUUGUAAAUAUGCUUAGAAUAAUGCCUCUUUGUUCUACAUGGCAAAUAGGGACCAUUAUGGUGUAACACCCUGGGAACCACAAACACCCCGAAAUGCUACUAAACUACACAACUAACCUUCAUAUAUAAAAUUUCGACAGCAUCUCCUUUGAAAAUUUGCAUAAACGUGGAAGCAACAGAGUAUAAACAGAUAUCAUGAUAAGGAAACAUACUAGACAUUAAUAAUCUGCUAGAAAUGGGAAGAUAACCAUAACGACAUAAACUGAAUUAACUAGUGUGCACAACUUGUUUAAAACAAACAUCAUUGACAAGAAGUUUCUAAUUAAAUCAUGGCUGUGCCUGGGUAGCGUUAUUAUGAGAGUGAAGGUGGACGUGAUGCUACUUCCCUCAUUCCCAACAUGAAUCAAGUACCUGCAUUGAGUAAUGCAAGAGUGAGAUGAAAACAUCUCAGCAAGUAAAUUGUUUUGACGAGAUAUUUAAAGCAAAAAAAUUUGAUUUACUCAACAUUUUAAAGGGAUCACAAUUGAGAUCAGAAAUACUUGUAGAUAUAGAACUCAAUAGUCCCAAAAUAACCAGUGCCAUCUCAUUUCCUCAAACAACCACAAUAGGUUGUAUAACACUUCCCUGCGUCAUCAAUACCUGCAAAUAUCACUUCAAUGUAUGCAUAGGAAUGCAAUGUUUAAGUCCUCUGCAUUCAUACUUCUUAGAGUAUAAAACCACACCAUCUGCAAAUAUCACUUCAAUGAAUGCAUAUGAAUGCAAUGCAUAUGUCCUCUGCCUUCAUACCUCUAAGGGUAUGAAGCCGAAUCGUACCCCUCCUCGGGCAACGUACGAUGCUAAGUUGUACCGUUACGGUCGGACCAUAGGUCACGACAAAACUUCAUAUGCAAGUGAAUCAUGACAUGUAUAUGGCUUGCUGCAUUUAUCAAUAUACUUCACUUCCUUCAUAUACAAUACAAACCUCAAAUAAUACUUCGUUUACCUUCAGAUACAAUACAAACCUCAAAUAAUACUUCAUUCACCUUCAGGGGUGUUUAUUAAUCUCGUGGGUCAUACUCGAAUCAUCAUCAUCAUCAAUGAUGAUUAAGCAUCAGUAUAAUACAAUCAAGUAAAGCAUCACCAUAGAGUUCAAUUAUGAAAGAAUUCGAUGAUUCUGAAUAUUAGAGUGUAUGCGAUGAAACAACAACGUCAAAACGGUAGCAACCACCGCUACAUUCACUUGCCUUCAUCGAAGAAGAAAAACAUACUAGGCAUGAUUCAGAGUGUAGACACCUGCUGUGGGGCUUAAAACUUAGUACAAAUAUUCCACAAACAUUUGCCAACAAUUAACAAAUCGCUCCUACACUUGAAACCAAGACCCGGUGGAAUGACUCCCACCCUGAACCACAUGCCAAACAAUAGUAGUGUUGUUUGUUAAUUUUGUAUCUUUAAAAUUAUAACAGUGGUGAUAUCAAACAAAUACUCCAGAAGUUUCUACACAAAAUACUCUACAACUUUGGUAUUCAAUGGAUAAUUAAAUUUUGCCAUCUAUAAGUUCUAAAACAUCUGAUAAGAUAACUGACUGAAUUUGUUUCAGACAACAGCAUAGUUAACUUCAAAAUUCGAUAUCUCCCAAACUCCUCAACCAAAAAUUAUGAAAUUAUUCUGACAGUAAGAACUUUUUUCCCUCUACAAAAGUAUCUAUAGUUGGAAGAGCCAAUUCGGCCAUUUACUAGAUGAAACCUACCAGUUAACAGACCCGCUCAUUUUUGUCAGGCAAACAAGAACCCUUAUAUAUCAAAGAGUAGUGGAUUUGAAUUUGUCUAAUAUGAAGUUUAUGGGCUUGGAUCAUUUAAAGUAUUUUAUAAUUCUGAAAGACAAGAUUAAACUAACUAUGUAUGAUCCUUUAGCACUGUACAGAUGGUCGAUGGGACAGUUACAUGGUUUAUAUAGAUGGACCUAUCUAUAUUCCUUCAGUGGUUGAGAAAAAGGUAAAGGUGUGUCACACUCACGUGUGCGCCGCCUCUACCGAGAUGAGGCAUGGCGUUGCAAGGUGAGGCAUGGCAUGGUGCAGCACGAUCGUAUACAUGGUCGUGGCACAGUGUAGCACUGUUGUGGAUAGAUAGAUAAACUUUUGUUGUAGUUAGAGUGCAUGAGUUUUUGAAUGCAACACAAGAAUUUUCACAAUUUAACUUAAUUAAGAAGUUAUAUCUUGAUGACACAGAGUUACCUGACCAUUGAUCUCACAUGCCCUUUUAGCUCUCUCGUUCUCUAGACUCACCCUGACUAUUUAGGUCUCCUGACUCGCCAAUAUAAACACCAUCCUAUCAUUUGCUCUCGAAUACUUCUGUGUCACAACUCAACUGUCAGAUGAGUACUCCAUUACAGCACUGAGCAGGCCUCCGAAAUGAAUAUCUACUCAGAUGAAGGACGACAAUCGUGUUCUAGGGAAAUAUCGGUGACACAACUCCUUACUUCCUCCGCUUCUUCCUAGUGUUUUUUGUUGUGAUUGAGUCGACACAGCAACAACACUGCACUAUUACAACCAGUACGACUAUAUUAACUAGCAAUGUCUUCCUUAUAUGUUACUAUUUAUUUUGCUCAUAUUCAUUAUGUUUAAAUCACAUAGGCACCUUUUUGUUGGCAUCAAAAAAUUAGUAUCAACUUUCUAGAUUAAAGUGAAACUAAAAGUACCUAAAUUUCUAUCGGUGGGGAUCGAGUGAUUCUUUAAACCAAUUAUUACGCAAGUUAACCACACUAAAAUUAACAUUGGUGAACCGUGCCAUGAUUUUUUCUAAUGGAAAAUAGCCAAACCAAGCAACACAUAUGUGGCUAUCGUUACACAUGUGUAAAGGUAUUGCAUCACACCAUUGUCACCCAUGUAUUUGGACAAUACCGAGAGGAAAAACCACUUAUUUAUUGUAUUUUAUCAAGUUUGUCUUGCUUACGUAUAAAUUAUAACCCAACAAAGUAAUCACUAAAUGUCAAAACCAACUAGAUACCAUGUCAUCUCUACCUUAUCUUACUAAUAUUCUUUUUGCAAAAUCCAAAAUUAAUCUUGCACAAGCACAAGGACUGAGAUGUGUAUAAAUAUCUCUUAAAUUAGUAGCUAAUAUAUCACACAUAUUAUUGAGACCAACUAGCAACAUAGAAAGCACAAUAGUGUACCAACAAUGGCAGCUAAAAUAUUUUGCCUCCUUAUGCUCCUUGGUCUUUCUGCAAGUGCUGCUACGGCGACCAUUUUCCCACAAUGCUCACAAGCUCCUAUAGCUUCCCUUCUUCCCCCGUACCUCUCACCAACGGUGUCUUCGGUAUGUGAAAACCCAAUUCUUCAACCCUACAGGAUCCAACAGGCAAUCGCAGCUGGCAUCUUACCUUUAUCACCCUUGUUCCUCCAACAAUCAUCAGCCCUAUUACAGCAGUUACCUUUGGUGCAUUUAUUGGCACAAAACAUCAGGGCACAACAACUACAACAACUUGUGCUAGCAAACCUUGCUGCCUACUCUCAGCAACAGCAGUUUCUUCCAUUCAACCAACUAGCUGCAUUGAACUCUGCUUCUUAUUUGCAACAACAACAACUACCAUUCAGCCAGCUAUCUGCUGCCUACCCCCAGCAAUUUCUUCCAUUCAACCAACUGACAGCAUUGAACUCUCCUGCUUAUUUACAGCAGCAACAACUACUACCAUUCAGCCAGCUAGCUGGUGUGAGCCCUGCUACCUUCUUGACACAACCACAGUUGUUGCCGUUCUACCAGCACGCUGCGCCUAACGCUGGCACCCUCUUACAACUGCAACAAUUGCUGCCAUUCAACCAACUUGCUUUGACAAACCCAGCAGCAUUCUACCAACAACCCAUCAUUGGUGGUGCCCUCUUUUAGAUUUCUUAUGAGUUAUAGUUCAAUAAUAAAGUUUUUUGUCUGAUGUUUGUGGCUUCCCAGAAAUAAGAAAGUACAUUUCUAGAUUCUUAUGUGCUUCUAGUCUCCAAAUGUGGUUGAUAGUUAUUUUGCUCUAAGAUCAACAGUAAUGAAGUAUAAAUCAUCGUUGUGGUGUGCUACUCGGUUAAUUGAGCAUUAACACACACAAACAUGACGAGGAUGGUAUAAUCUCCAAAAAUGUGUACUUUGUUAGGUGGGACCCUAUAGCCUUGAUUAAUGUGCUAUGUUAGGCAUGCCUGGAAACGUGUGACGCAUAUGUUUUGUGAACCUGUUGAUAUUAUAUGUGCUUUUAUAUUACCAUAUUUUAUUAAAAUACUAAUAUUUAUUACUAGUAAGAUAUAACAUUCUAUCUAGCUUAAAAACUAACCAUAAAUAUUCCAUAAUAACUAGAUUUACCAAACUAAUAUACUAAAUAUACAUAAUAAAUACAAAAUUAACAAGACAAUAAUCAAUAUUUAUGAGCUUAAUAUAUUUAGACAUUAUGGUUGGUCGACGAUAAUCAUGCUAACUUUUCGUAAUUGCUUGAUUGUAAAUAUGCUUAGAAUAAUGCCUCUUUGUUCUACAUGGCAAAUAGGGACCAUUAUGGUGUAACACCCUGGGAACCACAAACACCCCGAAAUGCUACUAAACUACACAACUAACCUUCAUAUAUAAAAUUUCGACAGCAUCUCCUUUGAAAAUUUGCAUAGACGUGGAAGCAACAGAGUAUAAACAGAUAUCAUGAUAAGAAAACAUACUAGACAUUAAUAAUCUGCUAGAAAUGGGAAGAUAACCAUAACGACAUAAACUGAAUUAACUAGUGUGCACAACUUGUUAAAAACAAACAUCGUUGACAAGAAGUUUCUAAUUAAAUCAUGGUUGUGCCUGGGCAGCGUUAUUAUGAGAGUGAAGGUGGACGUGAUGCUACUUCCCUCAUUCCCAACAUGAAUCAAGUACCUGCAUUGAGCAAUGCAAGAGUGAGAUGAAAACAUCUCAGCAAGUAAAUUGUUUUGACGAGAUAUUUAAACCAAAAAAAUUUGAUUUACUCAACAUUUUAAAGGGAUCACAAUUGAGAUCAGAAAUACUUGUAGAUAUAGAACUCAAUAGUCCCAAAAUAACCAGUGCCAUCUCAUUUCCUCAAACAACCACAAUAGGUUGUAUAACACUUCCCUGCGUCAUCAAUACCUGCAAAUAUCACUUCAAUGUAUGCAUAGGAAUGCAAUGUUUAAGUCCUCUGCAUUCAUACUUCUUAGAGUAUAAAACCACACCAUCUGCAAAUAUCACUUCAAUGAAUGCAUAUGAAUGCAAUGCAUAUGUCCUCUGCCUUCAUACCUCUAAGGGUAUGAAGCCGAAUCGUACCCCUCCUCGGGCAACGUACGAUGCUAAGUUGUACCGGUACGGUCGGACCAUAGGUCACGACAAAACUUCAUAUGCAAGUGAAUCAUGACAUGUAUAUGGCUUGCUGCAUUUAUCAAUAUACUUCACUUCCUUCAUAUACAAUACAAACCUCAAAUAAUACUUCGUUUACCUUCAGAUACAAUACAAACCUCAAAUAAUACUUCAUUCACCUUCAGGGGUGUUUAUUAAUCUCGUGGGUCAUACUCGAAUCAUCAUCAUCAUCAAUGAUGAUUAAGCAUCAGUAUAAUACAAUCAAGUAAAGCAUCACCAUAGAGUUCAAUUAUGAAAGAAUUCGAUGAUUCUGAAUAUUAGAGUGUAUGCGAUGAAACAACAACGUCAAAACGGUAGCAACCACCGCUACAUUCAUUUGCCUUCAUCGAAGAAGAAAAAUGUACUAGGCAUGAUUCAGAGUGUAGACACCUGCUGUGGGGCUUAAAACUUAGUACAAAUAUUCCACAAACAUUUGCCAACAAUUAACAAAUCGCUCCUACACUUGAAACCAAGACCCGGUGGAAUGACUCCCACCCUGAACCACAUGCCAAACAAUAGUAGUGCUGUUUGUUAAUUUUGUAUCUUUAAAAUUAUAACAGUGGUGAUAUCAAACAAAUACUCUAGAAGUUUCUACACAAAAUACUCUACAACUUCGGUAUUCAAUGGAUAAUUAAAUUUUGCCAUCUAUAAGUUCUAAAACAUCUGAUAAGAUAACUGACUGAAUUUGUUUCAGACAGCAGCAUAGUUAACUUCAAAAUUCGAUAUCUCCCAAACUCCUCAACCAAAAAUUAUGAAAUUAUGCUGACAGUAAGAACUUUUUGUCCCUCUACAAAAGUAUCUAUAGUUGGAAGAGCCAAUUCGGCCAUUUACUAGAUGAAACCUACCAGUUAACAGACCCGCUCAUUUUUGUCAGGCAAACAAGAACCCUUAUAUAUCAAAGAGUAGUGGAUUUGAAUUUGUCUAAUAUGAAGUUUAUGGGCUUGGAUCAUUUAAAGUAUUUUAUAAUUCUGAAAGACAAGAUUAAACUAACUAUGUAUGAUCCUUUAGCACCGUACAGAUGGUCGAUGGGACAGUUACAUGGUUUAUAUAGAUGGACCUAUCUAUAUUCCUUCAGUGGUUGAGAAAAAGGUAAAGGUGUGUCACACUCACGUGUGCGCCGCCUCUGCCGAGAUGAGGCAUGGCGUUGCAAGGUGAGGCAUGGCAUGGUGCAGCACGAUCGCAGUCAUGGUCGUGGCACAGUGUAGCACUGUUGUGGAUAGAUAGAUAAACUAUUGUUGUAGUUAGAGUGCAUGAGUUUUUGAAUGCAACACUAGGAUUUUCACAAUUUAACUUAAUUAAGAAGUUAUAUCUUGAUGACACAGAGUUACCUGACCAUUGAUCUCACAUGCCCUUUUAGCUCUCUUGUUCUCUAGACUCACCCUGACUAUUGAGGUCUCUUGACUCGCCAAUAUAAACACCAUCCUAUCAUUUGCUCUCGAAUACUUUUGUGUCACAACUCAACUGUCAGAUGAGUACUCCAUUACAGCACUGAGCAGGCCUCCGAAAUGAAUAUCUACUCAGAUGAAGGACGACAAUCGUGUUCUAGGGAAAUAUCAGUGACACAACUCCUUACUUCCUCUGCUUCUUCCUAGUGUUUUUUGUUGUGAUUGAGUCGACACAGCAACAACACUGCACUAUUACAACCAGUACGACUAUAUUAACUAGCAAUGUCUUCCUUAUAUGUUACUAUUUAUUUUGCUCAUAUUCAUUAUGUUUAAAUCACAUAGGCACCUUUUUGUUGGCAUCAAAAAAUUAGUAUCAACUUUCUAGAUUAAAGUGAAACUAAAAGUACCUAAAUUUCUAUCGGUGGGGAUCGAGUGAUUCUUUAAACCGAUUAUUACACAAGUGAACCACACUAAAAUUAACAUUGGUGAAUCGUGCCAUGAUUUUUUCUAGUGGAAAAUAGCCAAACCAAGCAACACAUAUGUGGCUAUCGUUACACAUGUGUAAAGGUAUUGCAUCACACCAUUGUCACCCAUGUAUUUGGACAAUACCGAGAGGAAAAACCACUUAUUUAUUGUAUUUUAUCAAGUUUGUCUUGCUUACGUAUAAAUUAUAACCCAACAAAGUAAUCACUAAAUGUCAAAACCAACUAGAUACCAUGUCAUCUCUACCUUAUCUUACUAAUAUUCUUUUUGCAAAAUCCAAAAUUAAUCUUGCACAAGCACAAGGACUGAGAUGUGUAUAAAUAUCUCUUAAAUUAGUAGCUAAUAUAUCACACAUAUUAUUGAGACCAACUAGCAACAUAGAAAGCACAAUAGUGUACCAACAAUGGCAGCCAAAAUAUUUUGCCUCCUUAUGCUCCUUGGUCUUUCUGCAAGUGCUGCUACGGCGACCAUUUUCCCACAAUGCUCACAAGCUCCUAUAGCUUCCCUUCUUCCCCCGUACCUCUCACCAGCGGUGUCUUCGGUAUGUGAAAACCCAAUUCUUCAACCCUAUAGGAUCCAACAGGCAAUCGCAGCUGGCAUCUUACCUUUAUCACCCUUGUUCCUCCAACAAUCAUCAGCCCUAUUACAGCAGUUACCUUUGGUGCAUUUAUUGGCACAAAACAUCAGGGCACAACAACUACAACAACUUGUGCUAGCAAACCUUGCUGCCUACUCUCAGCAACAACAGUUUCUUCCAUUCAACCAACUAGCUGCAUUGAACUCUGCUUCUUAUUUGCAACAACAACAACUACCAUUCAGCCAGCUAUCUGCUGCCUACCCCCAGCAAUUUCUUCCAUUCAACCAACUGACAGCUUUGAACUCUCCUGCUUAUUUACAGCAGCAACAACUACUACCAUUCAGCCAGCUAGCUGGUGUGAGCCCUGCUACCUUCUUGACACAACCACAAUUGUUGCCGUUCUACCAGCACGCUGCGCCUAACGCUGGCACCCUCUUACAACUGCAACAAUUGCUGCCAUUCAACCAACUUGCUUUGACAAACCCAACAGCAUUCUACCAACAACCCAUCAUUGGUGGUGCCCUCUUUUAGAUUUCUUAUGAGUUAUAGUUCAAUAAUAAAGUUUUUUGUCUGAUGUUUGUGGCUUCCCAGAAAUAAGAAAGUACAUUUCUAGAUUCUUAUGUGCUUCUAGUCUCCAAAUGUGGUUGAUAGUUAUUUUGCUCUAAGAUUAGCAGUAAUGAAGUAUAAAUCAUCGUUGUGGUGUGCUACUCGGUUAAUUGAGCAUUAACACACACAAACAUGACGAGGAUGGUAUAAUCUCCAAAAAUGUGUACUUUGUUAGGUGGGACCCUAUAGCCUUGCAGAAUGUGCUACGUUAGGCAUGCCAAUGGAAACGUGUGACACAUACGUUUUGUGAAUCUGUUGAUAUUAUAUGUGCUUUUAUAUUACCAUAUUUUAUUAAAAUACUAAUAUUUAUUACUAGUAAGAUAUAACAUUCUAUCUAGCUUAAAAACUAACCAUAAAUAUUCCAUAAUAACUAGAUUUACCAAACUAAUAUACUAAAUAUACAUAAUAAAUAUAAAAUUAACAAGACAAUAAUUAAUAUUUAUGAGCUUAAUUUAUUUAGACAUUAUGGUUGGUCGACGAUAAUCAUGCUAACUUUCCGUAAUUGCUUGAUUGUAAAUAUGCUUAGAAUAAUGCCUCUUUGUUCUACAUGGCAAAUAGGGACCAUUAUGGUGUAACACCCCGGGAUCCACAAACACCCCGAAAUGCUACUAAACUACACAACUAACCUUCAUAUAUAAAAUUUCGACAGCAUCUCCUUUGAAAAUUUGCAUAAACGUGGAAGCAACAGAGUAUAAACAGAUAUCAUGAUAAGGAAACAUACUAGACAUUAAUAAUCUGCUAGAAAUGGGAAGAUAACCAUAACGACAUAAACUGAAUUAACUAGUGUGCACAACUUGUUAAAAACAAACAUCGUUGACAAGAAGUUUCUAAUUAAAUCAUGGUUGUGCCUGGGCAGCGUUAUUAUGAGAGUGAAGGUGGACGUGAUGCUACUUCCCUCAUUCCCAACAUGAAUCAAGUACCUGCAUUGAGUAAUGCAAGAGUGAGAUGAAAACAUCUCAGCAAGUAAAUUGUUUUGACGAGAUAUUUAAACCAAAAAAAUUGAUUUAAUCAACAUUUUAAAGGGAUCACAAUUGAGAUCAGAAAUACUUGUAGAUAUAGAACUCAAUAGUCCCAAAAUAACCAAUGCCAUCUCAUUUCCUCAAACAACCACAAUAGGUUGUAUAACACUUCCCUGCGUCAUCAAUACCUGCAAAUAUCACUUCAAUGUAUGCAUAGGAAUGCAAUGUUUAAGUCCUCUGCAUUCAUACUUCUUAGAGUAUAAAACCACACCAUCUGCAAAUAUCACUUCAAUGAAUGCAUAUGAAUGCAAUGCAUAUGUCCUCUGCCUUCAUACCUCUAAGGGUAUGAAGCCGCAUCGUACCCCUCCUCGGGCAACGUACGAUGCUAAGUUGUACCGGUACGGUCGGACCAUAGGUCACGACAAAACUUCAGAUGCAAGUGAAUCAUGACAUGUAUAUGGCAUGCUGCAUUUAUCAAUAUACUUCACUUCCUUCAUAUACAAUACAAACCUAAAAUAAUACUUCGUUUACCUUCAGAUACAAUACAAACCUCAAAUAAUACUUCAUUCACCUUCAGGGGUGUUUAUUAAUCUCGUGGGUCAUACUCAAAUCAUCAUCAUCAUCAAUGAUGUUUAAGCAUCAGUAUAAUACAAUCAAGUAAAGCAUCACCAUAGAGUUCAAUUAUGAAAGAAUUCGAUGAUUCUGAAUAUUAGAGUGUAUGCGAUGAAACAACAAAGUCAAAACGGUAGCAACCACCUCUACAUUCACUUGCCUUCAUCGAAGAAGAAAAAGGUACUAGGCAUGAUUCGGAGUGUAGACACCUGCUGUGGGGCUUAAAACUUAGUACAAAUAUUCCAUAAACAUUUGCCAACAAUUAACAAAUCGCUCCUACACUUGAAACCAAGACCCGGUGGAAUGACUCCCACCCUGAACCACAUGCCAAACAACAAUAGUGUUGUUUGUUAAUUUCUAUCUUUAAAAUUAUAACAGUGGUGAUAUCAAACAAAUACUCUAUACGUUUCUACACAAAAUACUCUACAACUUCGGUAUUCAAUGGAUAAUUAAAUUUUGCCAUCUAUAAGUUCUAAAACAUCUGACAAGAUAACUGACUGAAUCUGUUUCAGACAACAGCAUAGUUAACUUCAAAAUUCGAUAUCUCCCUAACUCCUCAACAAAAAAUUAUGAAAUUAUGCUGACAGUAAGAACUUUUAUCCCUCUACAAAAGUCUCCAUAGUUGAAAGAGCCAAUUCGGCCAUUUACUAGAUGAAACCUACCAGUUAACGGACCCGCUCAUUUUUGUCAAGCAAACAAGAACCCUUAUAUAUCAAAGAGUAGUGGAUUUGAAUUUGUCUAAUAUGAAGUUUACGGGCUUGGCUCAUUUAAAGUAUUUAAUAAUUCUGAAAGACAAGAUUAAACUAACUAUGUAUGAUCCUUUAGCACCGUACAGAUGGUCGAUGGGACAGUUACAUGGUUUAUAUAGAUGGACCUAUCUAUAUUCCUUCAGUGGUUGAGAAAAAAGUAAAGGUGUGUCACACUCACGUGUGCGCCGCCUCCGCCGAGACGAGGCAUGGCGUUGCAAGGUGAGGCAUGGCAUGGUGUAGCACGAUAGCAGUCAUGGUCGUGGCACAGUGUAGCACUGUUGUGGAUAGAUAGGUAAACUAUUGUUGUAGUUAGAGUGCAUGAGUUUUUGAAUGCAACACUAGAAUUUUCACAAUUUAACUUAAUUAAGAAGUUAUAUCUUGAUGACACAGAGUUACCUGACCAUUGAUCUCACAUGCCCUUUUAGCUCUCUCGUUCUCUAGACUCACCCUGACUAUUUAAGUCUCUUGACUCGCCAAUAUAAACACCAUCCUAUCAUUUGCUCUAGAAUACUUCUGUGUCACAACUCAACUGUCAGAUGAGUACUCCAUUACAGCACUUACGUACACGAGUUCUAUGAGAGCAGGCCUCCAAAAUGAAUAUCUACUUAGAUGAAGGACGACAAUCGUGUUCUAGGGAAAUAUCAGCGACACAACUCCUUACUUCCUUCGCUUCUUCCUAGUGUUUUUUGUUGUGAUUGAGUCGACACAGCAACAACACUGCACUAUUACAACCAGUACGACUAUAUCAACUAGCAAUGUCUUCCUUAUAUGUUACUAUUUAUUUUGCACAUAUUCAUUAUGUUUAAAUCACAUAGGCACCUUUCUAUUGGCAUCAAAAAAUUAGUAUCAACUUUCUAGAUUAAAAUGAAACUAAAAGUACAUAAAUUUCUAUCGGUGGGGAUCGAGUGAUUCUUUAAACCGAUUAUUACACAAGUUAACCACACUAAAAUUAACAUUGGUGAAUCGUGCCAUGAUUUUUUUUCUAGUGGAAAAUAGCCAAACCAAGCAACACAUAUGUGGCUAUCGUUACACAUGUGUAAAGGUAUUGCAUCACACUAUUGUCACCCAUGUAUUUGGACAAUACCGAGAGGAAAAACCACUUAUUUAUUGUAUUUUAUCAAGUUUGUCUUGCUUACGUAUAAAAUUAUAACCCAACAAAGUAAUCACUAAACGUCAAAACCAACUAGAUAUCAUGUCAUCUCUACCUUAUCUUACUAAUAUUCUUUUUGCAAAAUCCAAAAUUAAUCUUGCACAAGCACAAGGACUGAGAUGUGUAUAAAUAUCUCUUAAAUUAGUAGCUAAUAUAUCGCACAUAUUAUUUAGACCAACUAGCAACAUAGAAAGCACAAUAGUGUACCAACAAUGGCAGCCAAAAUAUUUUGCCUCCUUAUGCUCCUUGGUAUUUCUGCAAGUGCUGCUACGGCGACCAUUUUCCCGCAAUGCUCACAAGCUCCUAUAGCUUCCCUUCUUCCCCCGUACCUCUCACCAGCGGUGUCUUCGGUAUGUGAAAACCCAAUUCUUCAACCCUACAGGAUCCAACAGGCAAUCGCAGCUGGCAUCUUACCUUUAUCACCCUUGUUCCUCCAACAAUCAUCAGCCCUAUUACAGCAGUUACCUUUGGUGCAUUUAUUGGCACAAAACAUCAGGGCACAACAACUACAACAACUUGUGCUAGCAAACCUUGCUGCCUACUCUCAGCAACAGCAGUUUCUUCCAUUCAACCAACUAGCUGCAUUGAACUCUGCUUCUUAUUUGCAACAACAACAACUACCAUUCAGCCAGCUACCUGUUGCCUACCCCCAGCAAUUUCUUCCAUUCAACCAACUGGCAGCAUUGAACUCUCCUGCUUAUUUACAGCAGCAACAACUACUACCAUUCAGCCAGCUAGCUGGUGUGAGCCCUGCUACCUUCUUGACACAACCACAGUUGUUGCCGUUCUACCAGCACGCUGCGCCUAACGCUGGCACCCUCUUACAACUGCAACAAUUGCUGCCAUUCAACCAACUUGCUUUGACAAACCUAGCAGUGUUCUACCAACAACCCAUCAUUGGUGGUGCCCUCUUUUAGAUUUCUUAUGAGUUAUAGUUCAAUAAUAAAGUUUUUUGUCUGAUGUUUGUGGCUUCCCAGAAAUAAGAAAGUACAUUUCUAGAUUCUUAUGUGCUUCUAGUCUCCAAAUGUGGUUGAUAGUUAUUUUGCUCUAAGAUCAGCAGUACAACAACAACAACAACAACAACAACAACAACAACAAAGCCUUUUUGUCCCAAGCACGUUGGGGUAGGCUAGAGAUGAAACCCCGUAUGAAAACCUCAGAGCUCAACCCCCAAAGAACAGAAAAGGGAAACAAAGGCAAAGGAGAACCGAAAACAACGAAACGGGGAAACACAUAAAAGAGAUAAAACCCACAAGGACCAGCAAGAUCUAAAAUGGACACAAGAAAAGGUCAAACGAUUAAGGAGGAAAAGCGAAACUAUCAAUCAGGGUUCUGGCACGUGAAUUGCACACUUCCACCCCUUCCUAUCUGCGGCGAGCUCUUUGUCAAUAUUCCACUCCUUCAGGUCUCUCUUCACAGCCUCUGUCCACGUCAAAGUUGGUCGACCUCUACCUCUCUUCACAUUUUCGGGACGCCUAAUUAUUCCGAUAUGCACUGGUGCCUCUUCAGGUCUUCGUUGGAUAUGUCCAAACCAUCUCAAGCGAUGUUGCAUAAGCUUCUCCUCAAUUGGCGCCACUCCUACUCUCUCUCGUAUAUCAUCAUUCCGGACUCGAUCUCUCCUUGUGUGGCCACAUAUCCAGCGCAACAUACGCAUCUCUGCCACACUUAGUUGUUGGACAUGUCGUCUUUUAGUGGGCCAACAUUCUGCUCCAUACAACAUAGCCGGCCGGAUUGCUGUCCUGUAGAAUUUGCCUUUUAGUUUGCGUGGCACCCGGUGGUCGCAUAAGACACCCGCAGCUUGUCGCCACUUCAACCAUCCGGCUUUAAUUCUAUGACUGACAUCCUCAUCGAUGUCUCCCUCCUUUUGAAGCAUUGAUCCUAAGUAACGAAAAGUGUCUUUCUUGGGUACCACUUGCCCAUCAAGACUAACAUCGCCAUCCUCAUACCCCAUGGCACUGAAAUCACACUUCAUAUACUCUGUUUUAGACCUACUAAGCCUAAAACCUUUUGCUUCCAGCGUCUGCCUCCACAAUUCCAACUUUUGAGAAACACCACUCCUACUCUCCUCAAUAAGUACCACAUCAUCGGCAAAAAGCAUACACCACGGUAAAACUCCUUGUAUGUCCCUUGUGACCUCAUCUAUCACCAAAGCGAAAAGAUAAGGGCUCAAAGCCGACCCUUGAUGUAGUCCUAUGUUAAUUGGAAAGUCAUCGGUGUCUCCAUCACUUGUUCGGACACUUGUCACAACAUUAGUGUACAUAUCUUUAAUAAGAUUAAUGUACUUUGUUGCUACUUUGUGUUUUUCCAAGGCCCACCACAUUACACUCCUAGGUACUUUGUCAUAAGCCUUCUCCAAGUCUAUGAAGACCAUAUGCAGGUCUUUCUUUUGUUCUCUGAAUCUCUCCAUAAGUUGUCUUAGUAAGAAAAUGGCCUCCAUAGUUGAUCUCCCGGGCAUGAAACCAAACUGAUUUUGGGUCACGCUCGUCAUCUUUCGCAGGCGGUGUUCAAUGACUCUCUCCCAUAGCUUCAUUGUAUGGCUCAUGAGCUUAAUUCCACGGUAAUUAGUACAACUUUGAACAUCUCCUUUGUUCUUGAAGAUUGGUACUAAUGUACUCCGCCGCCACUCGUCGGGCAUUCUGUUUGCCCGAAAGAUGGUGUUGAAAAGCUUAGUCAGCCAUACUAUCGCUAUGUCUCCAAGACAUCUCCAUACCUCGAUAGGGAUACCAUCAGGGCCCAUCGCCUUUCCUACCUUCAUCCUUUUUAGCGCCUCCUUAACUUCAUAUUCUUGUAUCCUUCGUACAAAACCCCUGUUGUUGUCAUCGAAUGGUUCGUCCAAUUCUAUUGUAGCACUCUCAUUCCCUCCAUUGAACAAUUUGUUGAAGUACUCCUUCCAUCUGUUCUUGAUCUCUUCACUCUUCACUAAUAGUUGGUUUGCUUCGUCCUUGAUGCAUUUGACUUGGUUGACAUCCCUUGUCUUCCUUUCACGAAUCUUGGCCAUCCUAUAGAUAUCCUUUUCUCCCUGCUUUGUGUCCAGCCGUUGAUAAAGGUCGUCAUAGGCUUGACCCCGGGCUCUACUAACCGCUCGCUUUGCAGACUUCUUCGCUAUCCUGUACUUCUCUAUGUUUUCUGCACACUUGUCAUGAUGUAAGCGUUUGUAGCAAUCUUUCUUCUCCUUGAUAGCCUUUUGGACAUCUUCGUUCCACCACCAAGUGUCUUUAACUUCCCUUCUGUUCCCUUGACUCAACCCAAACUCUUCUGAAGCUAUCUUUCGGAUGCAUGUCGCCAUCUUCCUCCACAUGAUAUUUGCGUCUUCCUCUCCUGCCCAAGGGCCCUCCUCGAUAACUCUCUUCUUGAAAGUUUGGGCCACAUCCCCUUUAAGCUUCCACCACUUUGUUCUAGUGACCUUGUUAUGCUUAUUUCGUUGUAAACGAAUCUUAAAACGGAAGUCAGCAACGACAAGCUUAUGUUGGGUUACCACACACUCUCCAGGUAUAACCUUGCAAUCUAAGCAGGCAUGCCUGUCCUCUUUUCUCAAGAGGACGAAAUCAAUCUGGCUAGUGUGUUGGCCACUACUGAAGGUCACCAGGUGGGAUUGCCUCUUCUUAAAGAAAGUGUUUGCUAUAAACAUGUCAUAGGCUAGGGCAAAGUUCAGGAUUUCCUCUCCUUCUUGAUUCCUAGUCCCAAAGCCGAAGCCUCCAUGUACACCCUCGAAACUGGUGCUAGAUGUACCCACAUGGCCAUUGAGAUCUCCUCCUAUGAAGAGCUUCUCGCCAACUGGCACACUACUAACCAUGUCCUCUAGGCCUUCCCAGAACUCUCUCUUUGAGUUCUCAUUAAGGCCUACUUGAGGAGCAUACGCGCUGAUAACAUUGAGAACCAAGUCUCCAAUGACCAGCUUGACUAGGAUGAUUCUAUCUCCUACCCUCUUAACAUCUACUACCCCAUCUUUGAGGCUCUUGUCGAUCAAGACGCCUACUCCAUUCUUGUUUGUUGCAGUCCCCGUGUACCACAACUUGAAACCUGUACCUUUCACUUCCUUCGCCUUCUGUCCCUUCCACUUGGUCUCUUGAACGCAUAAAAUAUUUACCCGUCUCCUCACCGCAACGUCAACUAUUUCUCGUAACUUACCUGUUAAGGAACCUACGUUCCAACUGCCUACACGGACCCUAGUUGGCUCGACUAGCUUCCUUACCCUUCGCACCCGCCGAGGAAGAUGCAAAGACCCUUGCUCAUUUUUCACUACACCCGGGCGCCGAUGUAGCGCGCCACUAAGGAUGCGACGACCCGAUCCUUGCUCACUUAUCACCGGCUCCAGAUCAAGAGACAGCGCGUCACUUGAGGGGUGACGACCCGGCCCUUGCUCAUUUAACACCAUACCCGGGUUCCGAUAUGGCGCGUCGCUAAGAGGGUUACGCCCCAACGGUUUUCUUUGUGGUUUCAUCUCCAUAAGAUUUGGCUGGUUUUUUACGUUGGUUUGCCGGACCUAACACAACCCUCCUCCUUUACCGGGCUUGGGACCGGCUAUGUUGAAACGACUCAAGGAAGUCUUCCAAUCAACAUAGGCGGAGUUUAAGAUCAGCAGUAAUGAAGUAUAAAUCAUCGUUGUGGUGUGCUACUCGGUUAAUUGAGCAUUAACACACACAAACAUGACGAGGAUGGUAUAAUCUCCCAAAAUGUGUACUUUGUUAGGUGGGACCCUAUAGCCUUGCAGAAUGUGCUACGUUAGGCAUGCCGAUGGAAACGUGUGACGCAUACGUUUUGUGAACCUGUUGAUAUUAUAUGUGCUUUUAUAUUACCAUAUUUUAUUAAAACACUAAUAUUUAUUACUAGUAAGAUAUAACAUUCUAUCUAGCUUAAAAACUAACCAUAAAUAUUCCAUAAUAACUAGAUUUACCAAACUAAUAUACUAAAUAUACAUAAUAAAUACAAAAUUAACAAGACAAUAAUCAAUAUUUAUGAGCUUAAUAUAUUUAGACAUUAUGGUUGGUCGACGAUAAUCAUGCUAACUUUCCGUAAUUGCUUGAUUGUAAAUAUGCUUAGACUAAUGCCUCUUUGUUCUACAUGGCAAAUAGGGACCACUCUAGGAGACUAGGAUGUUGCUUGAGAUGAAAAUGUCAGAAUUGGUGUAGACUAAUUUCUAUCGGCCGCUGACUUCACUAUUGUAACCAUUAUAUCUUGGGUAAAUUAUAUACGAUUAUCCAGCCAAAGGGCCCAGAUGAUAAAAAACAAUUUUUAAUUGCUAUUUUAGGACAAAUGAAUUAGCAUGGUUCGAAGGAUUACGACCUUCCCCCCAUGACCUUUGUCAUACUGCUUUAGUCUAAUCGACAAAACCAAGAUUAGUUAUCAUCGAAGAAGUUCAUAAGCGAAGUUGUGACGAUGAAAGGAACAUGGUGGUAAUUGGACGAACGACGACACCUUUGUCUAAGAAUGGCAUCUAGAAGAAAUCUCAGACAAAAUAAGACAUGAAUGGCUUGUCAGUACAGCGCAAAUACUGAAACAUGCGCCCUUGAAUAUGAAACAUUUAUAUGUAAGAGGAAGGGAUAAAAAAACUAAUUACUCGUGCCUAAUGAUUUUAUUGGGAAUUUUAAGGCGAGACUUAUGGCAAAGGGUUAUACCAAAAAUAGGGGAGAGAUUAUUUCGAUACUUAUUCACUUGUUUCCCUUCAAAUGGCCAUACAUGUGUUACUUUUUUUGGCUGCCUCGCAUGGUCUUAUCGUUCAUCAGAUGAAUGUUAAGACUGCUUUCCCAAAUGGAGAGCUUAAGGAACAGAUCUACAUUGACUAGCCUAGUGGUUUUAUAUCAAAUGGUAAAGAGGAAAAGGUGUUUAAAAUAAUUGUUUGGUUUAAAACAAGCACCAAAGCACAUGAGAAAAUCGAUAAAGUUCUGACUUUGGCUAAAUUUGUUGUAAAUGAAGUUGAUAAAUGUGUCCAUUACCAGUUUGACAGGGGCGAAGGUAUGACCUUUUUAUAUGUGGACAAAAUAUUAACCUUUUGUAACGAUGUUAAUAUGAUAGAAGAAGUAAAGUAAUUUUUGUCUAGUAACUUAGAAAUAAACAAUCUGGGAGAGGCUAAUGUUGUUCUUAACAAAGAGAUGUUGAGAGAAGGAGGAAAUAGAGGGUUACUCUUGUGCAAUCCUAUUAGGUUGAAAAGUCGCUGAGUCGCUUUGGAUAUAGUGAUUACACGUCUGGUCCAACAACUUAUGACCCAAGUGUGUUAUUAAGGAAAAAUCAUAUAAUUGCAUAUGAUCAAUUGAGAUAUUGUCAAAUCAUGGUCUUCUCAUAUAUUUGGCAAGCCCAACGAUGUCUCAUAUCUGAUUUGUUAUGAGCAAACUCAGUUGCCUUGUCUCCAAUCUAGGGGAGGAUCAUGACAUGCCCUAGAGAGGGUAUUGCGCUUUCUCAAAGGGAUAUGAGUAAUGUCAUUUACUAUACUAGGCACCUAAGAGUACCAGAGUGUUAUAGUCAUGCAAAUAGGAUAUCUGAUGUUGAUUAGAUUUAUGCCACAAGUAGACUUGUGUGCUUCCUUGGAGGUGUGAUUGUUUCAUGGAAGUCUUGUAAGUAGACCAUCUUAACAAGGUCAACAAUAGAAGUAGAACUCACAACAUUAUAUACUACCAAAGUUGAAGUUGAUUGGCUCCGUGAACUCCUUACGGAUUUACCAGUAGUUGAAAAACCAAUACUGGUUAUCUCUAUGAGCUACAAUAAUCAAACAUUUGUAAUCGAAGUAAACAGUUCUAAAGUUAACAUGAUGUCUACAAAGCAUGUAAAAAUGGUUGAAACUGUUAAAACACUAAGAAACUCUAGAUUAAUUAUGUUGGACUAUAUCCAUACAUCGAAUUUGGUAUGCCAGUUUACAGAAGAUUUGUCACAUAAUAUGAUUCAAGGUGCAUCGAGGAAUAUGGGCUUGAGACCCACUUAAUGUCAAUCCAUAGUGGUAGCAGUUUCUAUGUGAUUGGAGAUCCCAUAAAGUAGAAUGGUGAAACAAGCUAGAGAAUGACUGAUGGAGAGACUCCUUAAAUAAAAUCUUGAUAAUUUGAGAUGCACAUUUCUCAUUUGAUGUAUUGUAGGCGAACUAAAAUCUUAAUAUGAUUUGAGUGACUUAUCUAAGCAGGGAUGUUAUCUUACAGAACAUCCUAGAAAGAACACACCUAUAUGAGUUUGCAUGUUAGUCAUAGUCUAUCAUGUGUGGUAAUCUUUAUAUACUCAUGAAAGGCUUGAAGUUUGACUUAUAUGCUUCAAACCAAGGGGGUGCUUGUAACAGUCUAGUACAAGAUAAGAACAUUGGUAAAACUCACUUAACGCAAAAUUGUCAAUUUAAGGCAUAGUUCAUUGUUUAGAUGUGAAUGUGUAAUCCCUGUUCUAGAUGGAUGGUCAACUUAACAGCCUCCACCAAAACCCUGAUAUCUCAAAGAGUAGUGGAUUUGAGUUUGUCUAAUAUGUGGUUUAGAUUUUGGUGGGGAAUUUUAAUAUUUUAUGGGCUUGGCCCAUUUAAGGUAUUUAAUACUUUCAAAAGACAAGAUUAAACAUGUGUGAAUAGUGUCAUGAUUUUUUUCUAGUGCAAAAUAGCCCAACAAAUCAACACAUAUGUGGCUAUCAUUACACAUGUGUAAAGGUAAUGCAUCACACCAUUGUCACCCAUGUAUUUAGAAAAUACCAAGAAGAAAAACAACUUGUUUAUUGUAUUUUAUGGAGAUUAUCUUGCUUACAUAUAAUUAUAACCCAACAAAGUGGUCACUAAAUGUCAAAACCAACUAGGUACCAGGUCAUCUCUAGCUUAUCUUGCUAAUGAUAUUUUUGCAAAAUCCAAAAUUAAUCUUGCACAAGCACAAGGACUGAGAUGUGUAUAAAAAUCUCUUAGAUUAGUAGGUAAUCCAUCACACAAAGCGCAAUAGUGUAGCAAAACUGGCAGUCAAAAUAUUUUGCCUCCUUAUGCUCCUUGCUCUUUCUGCAAGUGCUGCUAACGCGACCAAUUUUCUGCAAUGCUCACAAGAUCCAAUUGCUUCCCUUCUUCCCUCAUACCUCUCACCAGCGACAUCUUCAGUAUGUGAAAACCCAAUUCUUCAACCCUAUAGGAUCCAACAGGCAAUCACAGCAAGCAUCUUACCUUUAUCACCCUUGUUCCUCCAACAACCGCCAGCCCUGUUACAACAAUUACCUUUGGUGCAUUUGUUGGAACAAAGCAUCAAGGCACAACAACUACAACAACCUGUGCUGACAAACCUUGUUGCCUACUCUCAGCAACAAUAGUUUCUUCCAUUCAACCAACUGGCUGCACUGAACUCUGCUGCUUAUUUGCAACAACAACAACAACUUCCAUUCACCCAGCUAGCUGCUGCCUACCCCCAACAAUUUCUUCCAUUCGACUAACUGGCUGCAUUGAACUCUGUUGCUUAUUUACAACAGCAACAACUAAUACCAUGAAACCAGCUAGCUGUUGCGAGCCCUGCUACCUUCUUGACACAACCACAGUUGAUGUCGUUCUACCUGCAAGCUGUGGCUAACGUCGGCACCCUCUUACAACUACAACAAUUGUUGCCAUUCAUCCAACUUGCUUUGACAAAC